rnacentral:lncRNA from 10 species
GUUGAAUACACAGCCUGUUGUUGAUGGAAACACCAUUGUGUGGUGCAUGACUCUAUGCUUUAGAUUUGGCCCUCAUGGAAUAGACCACUGCAAGGUCAAUGCUAGAGAGAACUCCUUUGCAGGAGAGAGAAAUAUGGUGGAGUAGAGGAACAGGGGAGUUCUGUGGAUGACCUCUUUCAUCUGGGCUUUGGAAGAUGGGAAAAGCUUGGUCAUACAGAGAUUUGGACUAAACGUUUCAUGAAGAGGAAGCAGAUUACGAAAUAAUUACACAGAGGAUUCCAGCAAAUAAAAUCCAGAAAAACAUGAAAUAUAAGCUCACAUUUGAAAAUCACCAAGUACACAAAGAAACAAGCCACCACGAGAAAGCCAGCAGAAACCAGGAUCUUCA